GACGAACGCUGGCGGCGUGCCUAAUACAUGCGAGUUGAGCGCUGAAGGUUGGUACUUGUACCAACUGGAUGAGCAGCGAACGGGUGAGUAACGCGUGGGGAAUCUGCCUUUGAGCGGGGGACAACAUUUGGAAACGAAUGCUAAUACCGCAUAAAAACUUUAAACACAAGUUUUAAGUUUGAAAGAUGCAAUUGCAUCACUCAAAGAUGAUCCCGCGUUGUAUUAGCUAGUUGGUGAGGUAAAGGCUCACCAAGGCGAUGAUACAUAGCCGACCUGAGAGGGUGAUCGGCCACAUUGGGACUGAGACACGGCCCAAACUCCUACGGGAGGCAGCAGUAGGGAAUCUUCGGCAAUGGACGAAAGUCUGACCGAGCAACGCCGCGUGAGUGAAGAAGGGUGUCGGAUCGUAAAACUCUGUUGGUAGAGAAGAACGUUGGUGAGAGUGGAAAGCUCAUCAAGUGACGGUAACUACCCAGAAAGGGACGGCUAACUACGUG
rnacentral:rRNA from 1 species